ACAAACUUGGUCAUUUAGAGGAAGUAAAAGUCGUAACAAGGUCUCCGUAGGUGAACCUGCGGAGGGAUCAUUAUUGAAUGGCCCUGUGGGCCUUCAACCCAUCAAACCUGUGGACUUAAUCUGUGCUUCGGCGCCACGCUCGUGGCGUCGUCUUUAUGCUGAAAGCUUGAUUUUGUCUGAUUCAUCACAAAAGAUUUAAAACUUUCAACAAAGGAUCUCUUGGCUCUUUAGAGGAAGUAAAAGUCGUAACAAGGUCUCCGUAGGUGAACCUGCGGAGGGAUCAUUAUUGAAUGGCCCUGUGGGCCUUCAACCCAUCAAACCUGUGGACUUAAUCUGUGCUUCGGCGCCACGCUCGUGGCGUCGUCUUUAUGCUGAAAGCUUGAUUUUGUCUGAUUCAUCACAAAAGAUUUAAAACUUUCAACAAAGGAUCUCUUGGCUCUCGCAUCGAUGAAGAACGCAGC
rnacentral:misc_RNA from 1 species